CCUACGGGAGGCAGCAGUGGGGAAUAUUGCGCAAUGGGCGAAAGCCUGACGCAGCGACGCCGCGUGAGGGAUGAAGGUCUUCGGAUCGUAAACCUCUGUCAGCAGGGAAGAACGGUCACUGUGCUAAUCAGCAGUGAAUUGACGGUACCUGCAAAGGAAGCACCGGCUAACUCCGUGCCAGCAGCCCCGGUAAUACGGAGGGUGCGGGCGUUAAUCGGAAUUACUGGGCGUAAAGCGCUCGUAGGUGGUAUGUCAAGUCAAGGGUGAAAUCCCCGCGCUCAACGAGGGAACUGCCUUUGAAACUGGCAAACUGGAGUGUGUGAGAGGAUAGUGGAAGUCUAGGUGUAGGAGUGAAAGCCGUAGAUAUCUGGAGGAACAUCAGUGGCGAAGGCGACUAUCUGGAACAUAACUGACGCUGAGGAGCGAAAGCGUGGGUAGCAAACAGGAUUAGAUACCCCAGUAGUC
rnacentral:rRNA from 1 species